ACUGUACCGCCAGACUUAGUCUAUUCUUAGCUUUAAGCUUUUUAGGACUUUCUGGCUUACGGAAAAUACUAAAUUGUUAUUACAUGUCAAUAAAAUCAGAGUUUUUAAAAAUUGAGUUUUAAACAUUUGCGACAUGUAUUUUGAUGCAGUGGAUCAUUUACAAUUCAAAAGUCGAUUUAACAUUUUUUAGGUGUUACGCCAUUUUUGCAUUUCAGAUAACGAUAUGAUGUACAUCAAUAAUAUAGAAACAAAUAUAGUUGCACUUUUAUAAAAAGAACUGGACACAUUUUUUCCAAUACGUAUAAGGAAUGCAAUAAUAUGUCUGUUUGUUAGUUGUCUACAUAAAAUGCAUGCAGCCGUUCAAUAGAUUGUGUGUGGUGGUCGAUAUUUUAUUUCAAACUUACCCGUCGUUGUAACAGGAUGAACCAUUUGCAGCUGUAGAAAUAACAACACAGUGCAAAAAAUAUAAAUUUUAAACUCUAUUUUAAAAUUUAACAUAUUUUGGUUUGGUUCUAUUUUUACGUAUAAAUUAACAAGAUAUUUUUUUAUAAAUUUUUAUGUAAAUAAAUUAAGAAAAUUUUUAAUAUGUAUUAAAUGAACCAAAAAAACUGAAAUGGAAAUGUGUACGUGUAGAAAAGUUCUUGUAUUGAAGCUGUUACUUUUUUGUUUUUAAAGAAAAACUAAAGAAAAAUCAACAAAAAAUAAAAAUAAAACAAUUCACGCAUUUAUCUCUAACAAUAUGUACGACACUAUCAAUACAACUAGUCUGGCUGUCUCUUACCCAAGUGGAUAGAUGUCGCCGGUGCACUAAGAUAAAAAAUUAUUAUAUGGCUUAUGAACAACAAUCGUAAAUUAUUGUCAUCAGUCUAGUAUAUAGUAUUUAUUUUUAUAAGACCAUCAUCACAUUAUGAGCAGCACAGCAACAACAUUCCGCCUUGGCAGACAGACAGACAAACUAAUGUGGUGACCGAGCACACAGGCUGUCGAAAAUAUUGCUGCCACAUAUAACAAAUAAAUAUUUUUAUUUGAAGUUCAAUAUCAUAUUCUAAGCAUACAUUUGUCUUUUUAAUUUUAUUUAAAAUAAUAUUUAUAAUAAUUGAAAAUAUGCCUUA